AUUGAACGCUGGCGGCAGGCCUAACACAUGCAAGUCGAACGAGUGGCGGACGGGUGAGUAAUGUCUGGGAAACUGCCUGAUGGAGGGGGAUAACUACUGGAAACGGUAGCUAAUACCGCAUACCAUCAGAUGUGCCCAGAUGGGAUUAGCUUGUUGGUGGGGUAACGGCUCACCAAGGCCACGAUCCAUAGCUGGUCUGAGAGGAUGACCAGCCACACUGGAACUGAGGCCCGGUCCAGACUCCUACGGGGGGCAGGAGUGGGGAAUAUUGCACAAUGGGCGCAAGCCUGGUGGAGCCAUGCCGGGGGUAUGAAGAAGGCCUUCAGGGUGUAAAGGUCUUUCAGCGGGGAGGCGUUACCCGCAGAAGAAGCACCGGCUAACUCCGGGCCAGCAGCCGCGGUAAUAC
rnacentral:rRNA from 1 species